AAGUCGUAACAAGGUUUCCGUAGGUGAACCUGCGGAAGGAUCAUUAGUGAAUGAACUUGGUCAAGCUGUUGCUGGUCCUUAGGGACAUGUGCACGCUGGACUCUUGUUUCUUAACCACCUGUGCACCUUUUGUAGACCUAGAGUUUCCAAGGGAUUUGCGUUAGCUUUUCCUGUAACGCUCUGGUCUAUGUUUUUAUAUACCCCUUUUAAAAUGUAAAGAAUGUGUAUUGGGCUUUUUUCAAGCCUAUAAAAUAUAUAUACAACUUUCAACAACGGAUCUCUUGGCUCUC
rnacentral:misc_RNA from 1 species